CCUACGGGGGGCAGCAGUGGGGAAUAUUGCACAAUGGGGGAAACCCUGAUGCAGCGACGCCGCGUGAGUGAAGAAGUAUUUCGGUAUGUAAAGCUCUAUCAGCAGGGAAGAUAAUGACGGUACCUGACUAAGAAGCCCCGGCUAACUACGUGCCAGCAGCCGCGGUAAUACGGAGGGGGCAAGCGUUAUCCGGAUGUACUGGGUGUAAAGGGAGCGUAGGUGGUAGGGCAAGUCAGAUGUGAAAACCCGGGGCUCAACCCCGGGAGUGCAGUUGAAACUGUCCGGCGGGAGUGCAGGAGAGGUAGGCGGAAUUCCUGGUGUAGCGGUGAAAUGCGUAGAUAUUAGGAGGAACACCAGUGGCGAAGGCGGCUUACUGGACUGUAACUGACACUGAGGCUCGAAAGCGUGGGGAGCAAACAGGAUUAGAUACCCGGGUAGUC
rnacentral:rRNA from 1 species